rnacentral:rRNA from 1 species
UACGGGGGGGGUAAGCGUUGUUCGGAAUUACUGGGCGUAAAGGGCUCGUAGGCGGCCAACUAAGUCGGACGUGAAAUCCCUCAGCUUAACCGGGGAACUGCGUCUGAUACUGGAUGGCUUGAGAUUGGGAGAGGGAUGCGGAAUUCCAGGUGUAGCGGUGAAAUGCGUAGAUAUCUGGAGGAACACCGGUGGCGAAGGCGGCAUCCUGGACCAACACUGACACUGAGGAGCGAAAGCCAGGGGAGCAAACGGG